rnacentral:rRNA from 1 species
UACGUAGGUGGCAAGCGUUGUCCGGAUUUACUGGGCGUAAAGAGCGCGCAGGCGGUCGGAUAAGUCGAAUGUGAAAGCCCCCGGCUCAACUGGGGAGGGUCAUUCGAUACUGUUCGACUCGAAGGCAGGAGAGGGAAGUGGAAUUCCCGGUGUAGUGGUGAAAUGCGUAGAUAUCGGGAGGAACACCAGUGGCGAAGGCGGCUAUCUGGACGGUUUCUGACGCUAAGACGCGAAAGCGUGGGGAGCAAACAGG